UCCUCCGUCUCAUAUUGCUGUCAUGUC
rnacentral:piRNA from 1 species